GCUCAGCCGUAAACCAAGGUAGUAUAAACACAACACUACCCGCCAGAGAACUACAAGUGAAAAACUUAAAACUCCAAGGACUUGGCGGUGCUCCACACCAACCUAGAGGAGCCUGUCCUAUAAUCGAUAAUCCACGUUACACCCUACCACCUUUUGCCCCCAGCCUAUAUACCGCCGUCGAAAGCCUACCUUCUGAAAGAAGCACAGUAGGCAAAACAGUUAUUAACUAACACGUCAGGUCAAGGUGUAGCACAUGAGGUGGAAGAGAUGGGCUACAUUUUCUGCCACAGAAAACACGAACAGCCUAAUGAAACUUAGGCCAAAAGGCGGAUUUAGCAGUAAGACAAACAAGAAGCCCUGUCUUAAACCCGCUCUGGAGCGCGC
rnacentral:rRNA from 1 species